rnacentral:lncRNA from 1 species
GUUAUGCCUAGGUGAAUCAAAAAAACUGAAACCAAGUAAGUCCUAAAUGUUUCUUAUAAUGUCAUUCAUAUUUCUUGCCUUUCUCCACUAUUUGAUUUGCAGGUACUUUAAGAUGCUACGCAGCCAUUAUCCUGAGCUGACAUGCAGCCGAUUACACCAUUUCUAAGACAGAAGUCCUCAUGGUCACCUUAGUUCCUUUGGAAGCUGAGAUUGACCAGAAGAGGAAAAUGAGAAUCACAAUGACAGAGAAGCUGUAGCGUUAGCUUAAGGAGGAGGCACUCAUUUAAGGACCAAUCACUCUUCUACCUAGAGAGCAGAAGGUUCUGGAAAACCUUCAAAGACCUCCUCUUCUCUCCUCAAUAACUCUUCCAGUCUGCUCAAGGGAAAAUUGCCCUCCUUGGUAACUUUAGUCAGUCAAUUUACCCUAGGAGAAAAUAAAAUAAGAUUUUCUAUUUCAUAGUCCAUUUGCAGAUUUUGCCUUUUGAAAUUCUACCUUUCGGAGAGACAGUCUAUAUAUGAUUGAACUUCCUCUUAGCUCAAUUCCAAAGAUGAACAACAUAAUUACCUCAAAUGAAACAGCACUCACAAAGGUUACAUCUUGCUAUUUGUCUUUGGGUAUACAGCACUUCUUCAUGUCUCUGCUGUUGGCCAAGACUGUUGGUCUUCACACUGUGUUCCCUGAGUCCCUACUCACUCCAGCCUCUACUUCGCAAUUACAGCCUGGCCUCCAUGCAAAAUGAAGAAAGUUUUCCAACACCACCAUGGGGGAUAAUACUGGGAAAGCCACUGGCUUUUGCAUGGCGCCACUGGAGUACGAACCCAGAGCUCCAGCACUCUCGAACUUCAUCUCCAGCCCUGGCCUCAUCUGCCCUUACUCUGAAUUUGCUUCCCCUCCAUUUCCCUGCCCUGAAUUGUUUCUUCCUCUGUAUUAUCAUCUCCUAGUCUCAUUCUGCUGAUGUUCCAUUACA